GCCGGGGUGAUGGAAUUGGUAGACAUAGCGGACUUAAAAUCCGCUUCUCAGCAAUGGGAGUGCCGGUUCGAGUCCGGCCCUCGGCA
rnacentral:tRNA from 1 species